GAAAAAACGUUGAUGGAGACUAGUAGCUAGCAAUUCGCUAUUUAGGGAGAAGGUGCCGUGACUGAAAGUACCUUUAUAGAAGAAGCGAGUGAAUUCACCUCCUGAGUUGACACUUGGACCAAUGAAUUGUAAAGGUGUUCCGGCAAAGCCGUUAAUCGUAACGAAGAGAGUAAUGCAAUCAGUAUGUGCAUUGCUAACUAGGGUGGUAACGCGACUAAUACUCGUCCCUUUU
rnacentral:ncRNA from 1 species